CGACGCCGCCGUGUGGGGAGUGAAGUACUUUUCCGGGGUAGUGUAAACCAACCUGUCGGAGGGGGAAGGAAAAUAAGACGAUACCCUCCAAGAAAGCCCCGGCUAACUACGUGC
rnacentral:rRNA from 1 species